UGAUUUACGUUUGAGAAUAAAGCCUCCUCUGGACUUAAUUUUCCAGGCUGAGGAAAAUUAAGUCCAGAGGAGGCUUUAUUCUCAAACGUAAAUC
rnacentral:pre_miRNA from 1 species